rnacentral:rRNA from 1 species
AAAGCCCGCUCGCCGGAAGACCAAGGGUUCCUGUCCAACGUUAAUCGGGGCAGGGUGAGUCGACCCCUAAGGCGAGGCCGAAAGGCGUAGUCGAUGGGAAACGGGUUAAUAUUCCCGUACUUGGUGUUACUGCGAAGGGGGGACGGAGAAGGCUAUGUUGGCCGGGCGACGGUUGUCCCGGUUUAAGCGUGUAGGUGUGUGUUCCAGGUAAAUCCGGUUCACUUUAACACUGAGGCGUGACGACGAGGCACUACGGUGCUGAAGCAACAAAUGCCCUGCUUCCAGGAAAAGCCUCUAAGCAUCAGGUAACAUCAAAUCGUACCCCAAACCGACACAGGUGGUCAGGUAGAGAAUACCAAGGCGCUUGAGAGAACUCGGGUGAAGGAACUAGGCAAAAUGGUGCCGUAACUUCGGGAGAAGGCACGCUGACACGUAGGUGAAGUGAUUUACUCA